rnacentral:other from 1 species
UACAUUCUGAGAUGUUCGAGGGCUCAUUAUUUUGAACCAACACAUUAGAUAUGGGAACUCUAUAUCUUAUGACAGAUGCCAGGCCAUACUUUGAUCUCUGGAAGGCAGAAGUGAUAAUGCGAGUACCCACCCGGUUACAUACUGGGGUCAAAAUUUGAGAACGGCAUUUUGGAUAUAA